GUGGGGUUGGGGAUGAAGUGGUUGACCCGGUCCCCGAUCACCGCCCAGGUCCGCUUCCCGUCGCUGAGCAUCUGCACGCCGCGCCGCCUGAACUUCUU
rnacentral:sRNA from 1 species